ACACUUUGAAAGACAUAAAAGCGGAUAUACAAAGCGAUUAGUAUUCUAACACAAAAGUUGUAGACCUAUAUUAUAUCUUUGCAUCUUCCUCUCUAACCAACCCUCCUCCGCCUCUCCUACAGUUUUCUCGAUCCACUCUUCCUGUUUAUCGUGAGACGUGGGAAUUUAUUACAAGAAUUCUUAUAAGAAGGUGCGAGCAGUAGAAGAAGUUCACUUGAUGACUCUCCUAUGAGAAGCAACACUUAAAUCCUCGCGAUUUUGGGGUUAACUACUUCUUUUUUGGAAAAAAAAAAGAAUAAAAGAAUAAAGAAAGUAAAACACUAAACGCUACUAUCAAGUGUUAGCGACGAGAAAAUAGAGACAAAAUAUAGUACAGCAAGAUAACUUGAGUAGUCAUCCGCUCGAAGAAUCUAUCAUUCGAGGGCUUUUUUUCGACAAGCGGGCUUGGGGAAAACACGGUGAAGAGAUGGCGCCUUUUUGGUUAAACGCAGCCGUGUUCGUUGUUUGCUAUUGUGCCAUCGUAGUUUCAGCAUCCAGACCGCUUCCAUUUGAUAGAUUCCACAGCUCAGAAGAAGAAUUAUUAGAAAUUCAGGAUCCGACCGCUCAAGAAUUAGUACUUCUAAAACUCCUUUCUGGAAGUAAUCUUAGUUUGGAUGGGAUCGCUUCGAGAGUGUCGAACAUUCAAGCGGAUAAACGGGGAUCACCGAGUGCCAAUAGAUACUGUCGAUUUUGGAAGAUACUCUGUUGAGAAUUGGAAAGGACAACGUUGAUGUCAGAGGUCAUGUGACAAUCUCUUGGCAACGAUCUGAUCAAGAAAUUGAGAUGACUCCACAAAAGAAAAGACUCUUCCGAUCGCUGGAAAAUCCGAUUUGCCAGAUGCAAUGCUUAAAAUCUUACGAUAUUUUCCUGAAAAUUUAUGCUUUCGUGAAAUAGAAAUACAUUUAUGGCAACAUUUUUCAGGAUUGGUUAACAGACUCCUGUACAAAAGAUUGAUAUUUUCUCGUUUUUACAUUUGGCAUACUACGCGUGCUGGGUAAGAUUAAAUUGUUGUAUAGAAACGAUGUUCACACUUGGUACCCGAUAGAUUUUUCAUUCAGAUCGUAACUAGAAUUUCCACCUUCACAGAAUUUAAUUACAGAUAUCAAUAUAUGCACGUCUUCUAUUCUACGUUUGUUCUUGGUAAACUUGUCAAGUAGGCCUAUCUUAAACGUCAUAUCAAACCCGUCGCUAGCAUGAAGGUUAAUCAGUCCGGUUUAGAACUUUCAAAAUUACACUGUGUUAGAAAGACUAAAAACUCAGUAGAAAUGGUAUCAUACUGAGCACUGGAACAAUAAUAGAUGGGAGGGCUUGGGGGGGGGGGGGCUGCACGAAAAAAAAAUCGACGACCAAAAAGAAGAAGGAUUAAAAAACCGAAAUGGAACGGAAGAAUGGUGAGGUAUGAUUUUUUUCAUUAUACAAAAGCCAAAAUUAUUGCUCGCUCGCUGGCUCGAGACUUUUUGAAGAUAAAUGUUGCCCCAUGUGCCAUAUGGCGCCCCUAAAGGAAUUGGUGAGUUGUAGAAAGCGUCUUUGUAGUGGUUGCAAAAAUACACUAUUAGGUCAUAUUUCGCCUACGUACUCAUAAUUACCCUAUGUAGCCCACCAUCGUAUUUUUAUUUCGGGAGAGCGUUUCAUGAAAGGACUUGUCAGACAUUUAUCCGACAAGUACUGUUUUAUCUGACAGUUACUAUGGUAACAUUGCCUCUCAGACAUUCAUAAUCAAGGAAAGUUGUCAGACCUGAGAACUUGUUGGACGAAAAUGUUGAUGAAACGCUCACCAGGAUUAUACGGCUUCAGUCAUGUCAGUGUAUGUUAGAGUGCAAUUAUUGAACGGGCUCCCCGAUGUCAUCACAUGUAAUUCUGUUAAGCAUGUCACCGGAGUACAGAAUCGGGGGGGGGGCGGCUUUGGGAGACUGAAUUUUAGGUAAAAUGUGUAAAAAGAUUAAUUAAUGAUUUAUUAAUGAUUUAAAAGAUCGAGAAGGAAAUAUUAUAUCUUUAACUGAAUGUGAAUCUAAGUUUGGUUUAAAAGUCAAUGUUUUGGAAUAUAUUUCAAUUUCUCAGGCUCUAAGAUGUGUGUUUAAUCGAAAAUUUCAAAACCUAGACCAUAGAAUAUGUGAACCAUUUGUUAUGCCUUAUAUUUCUCCUAUAAUGAGUGAUAAAAAGGGGUGUAAAAGUAUAUACAAACUUUUGAUAGGAAAUAAAGAUUCAGCCAAAAUUAUUGCAGCAAAAUGGGGAAAAAAUUCAAAUAUUCUUUUGGAUCACACUAAAAUACCGGAAUUUAAUAGGAUGAUUUUCAGAUUUACAACUGACAUUCGGAUAAAAUAUUUCCAAUUCAAAGUUUUCAAUAGAAUUGUGUUUUUAAAUGAUAUUUUAUUCAAACUAAAGAUCACCAAUACUGAGUGCUGUACAUUUUGUUAUACUGUAAAGGAAACAAUUGAACACUUCUUUUACUUCUGUAAUUUUAGUACAAAUAGUUGGAGUAAACGUGGAUAUCAUCUCCUAUGUUUAUUCUUAAAUUUACUCCACAGAAUAUUUUGUUUGGAUAUAAAGAAAAACGAAAUGAUGCCCUGAAUUGUAUUAUCAUUUUAGUAAAACAACAAUAAUAUUUCUCGAGGUUGAACAAGACUGUACCUGAUUUUAAGAAGAUUAAGAAGGUAAUACAAACUUAUUAUUUAGAUGAAUGUUACAUUUAUGAUUUGAAUGGAAAAAGGAAAGAUUCUAAUUUGAAAUGGAGUAUGUUGAAACAUUUGUUUGAAUAAUGUAUAUGAUUUGACUUCUGUAAACGUGUUCAUUUUUUGUAAAUAAACUUGCCCAUUGGGGCAAAAGUAUGAAAAAAAAAAUGUGUAAAAACUAAAAGUUCAAAGUUUUGCUCUAAACGCCAGGGGAGCGUUUCACGAAAGGUUUUUGUAGUUUCAUCUGACAAGUCCCUUUUCUGACAGUUACCAUAGUAACACUGCUUCUCUGUCAAUCAAAAUCAAGAAAAGAUCUUUGAUGGAACGCUCUGCAGGUCUGACCCCCUUAAAUAUUUGGGCUCAUUACGGUAUUGUAGAGAAUCGAAAAAGCGAGAGGUUCCUAAAUAACACACUCUGCUUUAAAAGAAGUGGUGAGGGGAAGACCGGCUAAUACCGGCUCAUGCCUGGCAUACCGCUAUGUCCUAACAGAAGCGAAAUUCGUCACUGAUGUAUGCCUAUGUUUCUUUGUAUUUCUCUCCGUGAAUACAAACACAAAAAUAUGUUAAUCUGCUACUAUUAAAAAGAAAAGGUCAGAAAAAUUGGUCGACUCAGUAGAGCAAAAUGAACUGAAUCAUCACUGAAAAUAUCAAUAAGACUAGAACAAGGUCACUAACUCUAGAGAGACUCAUUUUUGUACAAAGUAUAACUUAUUGCUAAUUGUGGCCUGUUUUGUUCUAAUAUGUAUUUAUCUUGUUUUGCUAUUUGAGAAUAUAGUAUAGCUGCUAUUUAUAUUUAUUUUUCUGCUUUAUGUAUAUUUAUAGAUUGCAUGAUUACAGUUAACCUCACUUUUUAAA